CCCUUAGAUGUUCUGGGCGGCCCGCGCACUACAAUGGCGCUUUCAGCGAGUUCCUAUGUUGAAUUUUCCUGGGUAUUCUUGGAAGCGGCGUCUUGACUUGGGAUAGAUCCUUGUAAUUGUUGGUUUUGAACGAGGAAUUCCUUGUAAUCGCGGUUGAUCAGCUCGCGUUGAAUACGUCCCUGCCCUUUGUACACACCGCCCGUCGCUCCUACCGAUGAAUCGUCCGGUGAAGUUCACAGAGUGGCGGUUCGUGGAGUUGCUCGCGAAGUGAAAUGGACCUCACGAUUUAGAGGAAGGAGAAGUUGUAACA
rnacentral:rRNA from 1 species